rnacentral:rRNA from 1 species
AUUGAACGCUGGCGGCAUGCCUUACACAUGCAAGUCGAACGGCAGCACGGGAGCAAUCCUGGUGGCGAGUGGCGAACGGGUGAGUAAUAUAUCGGAACGUGCCCAGUAGUGGGGGAUAACUGCUCGAAAGAGCAGCUAAUACCGCAUACGACCUGAGGGUGAAAGGGGGGGAUCGCAAGACCUCUCGCUAUUGGAGCGGCCGAUAUCAGAUUAGCUAGUUGGUGGGGUAAAGGCCUACCAAGGCAACGAUCUGUAGUUGGUCUGAGAGGACGACCAGCCACACUGGGACGGAAACCAGGCCCAGACUCCUACGGGAGGCAGCAGUGGGGAAUUUUGGACAAUGAGCGCAAGCCUGAUCCAGCAAUGCCGCGUGCAGGAAGAAGGCCUUCGGGUUGUAAACUGCUUUUGUCAGGGAAGAAAUCCUCUAGGUUAAUACCCUUGGGGGGAUGACGGUACCUGAAGAAUAAGCACCGGCUAACUACGUGCCAGCCGCCGCGGUAACAC